AGUAAAUAGAUACCCCGGUAGUCCUAGCCGUAAACGAUACUCGCUAGGUGUCGGCCACGGUGCGACCGUUGUCGGUGCCGUAGGGAAAGCCGUGAAGCGAGCCACCUGGGAAGUACGGCCGCAAGGCUGAAACUUAAAGGAAUUGGCGGGGGAGCACCACAACGGGUGGAGCUUGCGGUUUAAUUGGAUUCAACGCCGGAAAUCUUACCGGGACCGACAGCAAUAUGAAGGCCAGGCUGAAGACUUUGCCGGAUUAGCUGAGAGGUGGUGCAUGGCCGUCGUCAGUUCGUACUGUGAAAGCAUCCUGUUAAGUCAGGCAACGAGCGAGACCCACGCCCACAGUUGCCAGCGUACUCUCCGGAGUGACGGGUACACUGUGGGGACCGCCGCUGCUAAAGCGGAGGAAGGAAUGGGCAACGGUAGGUCAGUAUGCCCCGAAUAUCCCGGGCUACACGCGAGCUACAAUGGUUGGUACAAUGGGUAUCUACCCCGAAAGGGGAUGGAAAUCUCCUAAAGCCAAUC
rnacentral:rRNA from 1 species